GAUGAACGCUAGCGGCAGGCUUAACACAUGCAAGUCGAGGGGUAUAGUUCUUCGGAGCUAGAGACCGGCGCACGGGUGCGUAACGCGUAUGCAAUCUACCUUUUGCAGAGGGAUAGCCCAGAGAAAUUUGGAUUAAUACCUCAUAGUAUGUGAGAAUGGCAUCAUUUUCACAUUAAAGUCACAACGGCAAAAGAUGAGCAUGCGUCCCAUUGGCUUGUUGGUACGGUAACGGCUUACCAAGGCAACGAGGGGUAGGGGUUCUGAGAGGGAGGUCCCCCACGCUGGUAACGAGACACGGACCAGACUCCUACGGGAGGCAGCAGUGAGGAAUAUUGGACAAUGGGCGCAAGCCUGAUCCAGCCAUGCCGCGUGAAGGAUGACGGUCCUAUGAAUUGUAAACUGCUUUUGUACAGGAAGAAACACUGGUUCGUGAACCAGCUUGACGGUACUGUAAGAAUAAGGAUCGGCUAACUCCGUGCCAGCCGCCGCGGUAAGAC
rnacentral:rRNA from 1 species